ACGACAUAGAAUACAGAAAAAACAUCAAGAGAGAGAGAGAGAGAGAAAUAAAGGGCAGAGAUAUAGAUACACCUCUGUCUGUCUCUAACUGUGUGCAAACUCACCUUCAGCCUCCACCGGUCCUCUGUCUCUGUGUGUCAAAACACCGAUCAGAUCCUCCGGUGAUCCAUCAACACAACAAUCGCAUUCUUCACCUCAUCAAUCAUCGUUUCCGUAUUCUUUUUAGCAGUUUAUUCUCGUUCACGCAUAUCGUCGAACACUUGGUGGACUCGAAACCCUAAUUUAUUUUCUCCUUAAAAAUCCGAAAAUUUUGAUUUUGUUCUGCUAUUUUUUCAACUUUUUUUCAACUUUUGGUCCGAGCAAACCCUAAUUAUCGAUGGCCGCUACGACUAUUCAAUCCGACGAAAACGGCGUCGUCAAAAGCCCUAAAUCUCAGUGGAGUUCGAUUGUUAAGGGGCCGCCGGUGAUGGUAUCCGAUGCGAUUUCACCGGCGAUUGAAGGGCAAACUGGUAAUUUUGAGUCCGAUUUGUGUCCGGAUUCAUCGGUGCCGGAGAUUGUAAGUUCGCCGGAUGAUUCUGACGGCGGCGUUACGGCGGUGAAGAAACCGGUGUGGAAUAAACCGUCUAACGGCGUGUUUGAUGCCGUUAGUCCUGUUAUGGGCGCCGUUAGUUGGCCUGCUCUUGGUGAGAGUAAGAAUUCACCUAAAUCUUCUUCUUCAGAGUCGUUGAAAGCUCUUGCUGAUGCGCCAUUGGUUCCUGCAUUACAAGUGGUGACUGAAAAUUUAUCGUCUUCACCGCGUAAACCGACAAAUGCUAAUAACAAAACACCUACCUCAGCCCAAAACCAUGUGGCACCUGGUAAACAGAAAUCGAUGAAACGCGGUGGUGGGAGUUUUAAACAAAAUGUGUCGGCAGCAGCGGGUCAAGAUUUGGUAAUCGAAAAUGAAAGUCCUCAUAACGCUUCUGGAAAAUCUGGUAAUACUCCUAUGGAGUCUUCUGUGAGAGAUAACGCACACGUGGAACCGCAGAAAGGGGGCUUGGGGUCACAGUCGAAUAAUGGUAAUGACCGGCAACAACAAAGGUAUAGAAGGAGCAAUAGCGGGCCACAUUCACGUGGAGAUGGUUCUUAUCAUCAUGGUUAUGGUGGUAAGCGUGAUCAGGAUCGUGAAUGGAACCAGCAUAGUAGGAGCUUUAAUGGUAGAGACAGUCACACGCAGAGAGGGUAUCCUAGGGGUUAUGUACGACCUGCUGUGCAUACCCCUCCUCCGUUUAUUCCUCCGCAAAUGCCUCUAAUGAGGCCGUUUGGCAAUAAUAUGAUGUAUCCUGAUCUUCCAUCUCCGCCGGUGUACUAUUUUCAAGGUCCACCACCUCCACCGGAGUCACUCAGAGGCAUGGCGCCUGUUGUCGGGCCACCGAUUCCGCCUCCCAUGUACUUUGUAGCAGAUCCCAUGUUGUAUGCUAGGAUAGUGAGUCAAAUUGAUUACUAUUUCAGCAACGAUAACUUGGUUAAAGAUACAUACUUGCGGAAGAACAUGGAUGAACAGGGUUGGGUUCCUGUAAGCUUAAUUGCAGGCUUCAAAAAAGUUUUGUAUUUGACAGAUAAUAUUCAGCUAAUACUAGAUGCUAUGAGAGCUUCAACUAUCGUGGAAGUACAGGGUGAUAAAAUAAGAAGACGGAACGAUUGGAUGAGAUGGCUGAUGCAGACACCGGCCCAGACCGGCGGGAAUCAAGACGACAUAUUGGAUUCACGUCUUCAGGGCGUUUCACUUGAUGACACCACUUUGACAGCUCAGGAUUCUAUUUAAUCAUAUGACGACUACGAAGCAAUGUUUUUGACAAGAGGAAGAAGAGAACUUGAUAUUGUUGCAGGCUACAUUGAUAGAGAAAUGGGGUUUCAAGAAGCACAUGGAUAGACAAAGGUUAGGAAUUGCCAACCCUAGAUUUAUUGAUACGCUUUUUGAUGCCAUAGUGGUUGGGAAGCAGAACACAACCAUGAUGAGUUUAACGAGAACCAAUAAGCCUUGAUCAUAUGCUCUAAUAGUAGUUGUAUGAUAGCUGUGAGGACAGGUUUGUGACAAUACACAAUUACACAUCAGGGUCAAUGUUUAAUAACAUUUAGAAAAAUUGGAUUUUAAUAAUCUUAGUUGUGACAUGUUUCUUAGAUAAUAAUUCUUACUAGCAAUGUGGCUAGUGACAUUUUAACUUUCAUUUUUGUUGUUAAAGGCAAUCUCACUCUAACAGAAAAGUAACCUCGUUUGUCCCCAACUUUCCUUUUAUGUAAGAUUUUUAAUUGGGAUAAUACUUAUUUAAUUGUUUAUUAGUGGAGUGUUUGGAACUGAGGGUCUUUCUGGAAGCAUCUUCUCUUUAUCUAGGGAUGGAUGUAUGGUCUGCCAAUAUCCCAUUUUUCUCAAAACCUUACUAGUAGUUUUGUUAUUUAUGAGAUUUACUAGAUAUGGUUGUUAUUGAUUAUUAGUGAUAUAGAAUUACUUCAAGUGAGAUUGACAUUAGAAAAAGUGAAAGCAUAGGUUACACUGUUAUAAAUUAUUGUUGGUAAAUUUGUUACAAGUAAAUAUAUAUAAAAGAAAAGGGUGUAAUUUUCAUUGGUAUGAAAUGGUCAUGUUAGUUGGUGGGUGAUGAUGGGGGUAGCUCAGAUCUCACAAAAUGACUAAAACACGUAUUAGCUUAGAAGCUUAAAGGGUUGAAAGCUUCAUAACCCGGGAACUAUGGUGAACAGCAAAAAGAACGUGAACAGUAACAUGUCACUUCAACUAAUUGCUCGUCCACUCUCCCGGCCGCAAAAGCAGAGCACAUGCACAAGAAGCUCCCUUUUACCCGCA